AUCGAGGCUGGAAGGCAGUAUCAUGCUGUAUUGUGUACACAUGUAUUGUAUCUUUUAGGAUGUCCUGACCUAUGAUGAUGUGCAUGUGAACUUCACUGAGGAAGAGUGGGCAUUGCUGUAUCCUUCUCAGAAGACUCUCUACCAAUGUGUAAUGCUGGAGACCUGUAGGAAUCUCAGCGCUAUAGUCUACAUUUGGAAAGACAAUACUACUGAAGAAUAUUGUAAAAGUUCUGGAAGACAUUGAAGGUAUGAAAGAAGUUUUACUGGAAAGCAAACCUUUGAUUUUAUUCAGUAUAGUAAUGGCUUUGCAGUUCAGAGUCCUACCCAAAGGCAUAAUGGAGAGAAGCCCUAUGAAGGUAACCUCUGUGGUAAAGCUUUUGUACAGAGGAAUAAUCUCAAAACACAUAAAAGGACACAUAAUGGAGAAGAACCUUCUGAAUGUAACCAAUGUUGUAAAGACUUUGUAAGAAGCAGUGCUCUCCAAAAUCAUAAAGAAAUACACCCAGGAGAGAAACUUUAUGAAUGUAAUCAAUGUGGUAAAGCCUUUGCACAAAGGAGUAGUCUCAAAAGACAUAAAAGGACAUGUACUGGAG
ensembl:lncRNA